rnacentral:rRNA from 1 species
CCUGGCGGCGUGCAUAACACAUGCAAGUCGAACGGUGAAGGCGGAGCUUGCUCUGCUGGAUCAGUGGCGAACGGGUGAGUAACACGUGAGCAAUCUGCCCCUGACUCUGGGAUAAGCGCUGGAAACGGCGUCUAAUACUGGAUACGAGCUGCGAAGGCAUCUUCAGCAGCUGGAAAGAACUUCGGUCAGGGAUGAGCUCGCGGCCUAUCAGCUUGUUGGUGAGGUAAUGGCUCACCAAGGCGUCGACGGGUAGCCGGCCUGAGAGGGUGACCGGCCACACUGGGACUGAGACACGGCCCAGACUCCUACGGGAGGCAGCAGUGGGGAAUAUUGCACAAUGGGCGAAAGCCUGAUGCAGCAACGCCGCGUGAGGGACGACGGCCUUCGGGUUGUAAACCUCUUUUAGCAGGGAAGAAGCGAAAGUGACGGUACCUGCAGAAAAAGCGCCGGCUAACUACGUGCCAGCAGCCGCGGUAAUACGUAGGGCGCAAGCGUUAUCCGGAAUUAUUGGGCGUAAAGAGCUCGUAGGCGGUUUGUCGCGUCUGCUGUGAAACCCCGAGGCUAAACCUCGGGCCUGCAGUGGGGAGAGGCAGACUAGAGUGC